GCAGCCCCUGGGUCUGCGCAGUGACCAGCCAAUCAAUCCCCUGAGAACUUUUCCCUCCAGCACCCGGGAUAAUGAGACUUUGGCUCCUCUUAGUUUUCGCUGCUGCGGCUUUGGAAGGGGCCCGCUCCCAGGUGGUUCUGACCCAGUCGGGGCCAGCGCUGAAGAAGCCCGGAGAGUCCCAUACGCUGCAAUGUGCCACCAGCGGGUUCACUCUGAGCAGCACCUGGAUGGGCUGGGUCAGACAGGAGCCCGGGAAGGGGCUGGAGUGGCUGGUCAGCUACUAUAAUCCCUCAAGCAAGUACUACGCCUCCUCCAUCCAGGGCCGAUUCACGGCCUCCAAGGACAGCUCCAGCUUCUACCUGCAAAUGCCCGGCCUGAAAGCGGAGGACACCGCCGUGUAUUACUGCGCGAGAGACACAGUGAGGGGAAGCGAGUCUGAGCUCAGACAAAAACCUGCCUGGCAGCUGCAGAGGAAGUUCUCUGCCUGGGGUCGCUAG